CAGUAGCCGCGGGAAUACAGAGGGUGCGAGCGUUAAUCGGAUUUACUGGGCGUAAAGCGUGCGUAGGCGGCUUCUUAAGUCGGAUGUGAAAUCCCUGAGCUUAACUUAGGAAUUGCAUUCGAUACUGGGAAGCUAGAGUAUGGGAGAGGAUGGUAGAAUUCCAGGUGUAGCGGUAAAAUGCGUAGAGAUCUGGAGGAAUACCGAUGGCGAAGGCAGCCAUCUGGCCUAAUACUGACGCUGAGGUACGAAAGCAUGGGGAGCAAACAGGAUUAGAGACCCCAGUAGUCCCUGUCUCUUAUAC
rnacentral:rRNA from 1 species